CCUACGGGGGGCUGCAGUGGGGAAUAUUGGACAAUGGGCGCAAGCCUGAUCCAGCAAUGCCGCGUGUGUGAAGAAGGCCUGCGGGUUGUAAAGCACUUUAAGCAGGAAAGAAGGGGUGAAAGUUAAUACCUUUCAUCAUUGACGUUACCUGCAGAAUAAGCACCAGCUAACUCCGUGCCAGCAGCCGCGGUAAUACGGAGGGUGCGUGCGUGAAUCGGAAUGCGCGUGGGCAGUGCGCGCGGAGGCGGGUGACAGCCCUGGGCUUAACCUGGGAACUGCGGUGGAUACUGUCGGGCUAGAGUGUGGUAGAGGGGAGUGGAAUUUCCGGUGUAGCAGUGAAAUGCGUAGAGAUCGGAAGGAACACCAGUGGCGAAGGCGGCUCCCUGGACUAACACUGACGCUGAGGUGCGAAAGCGUGGGGAGCAAACAGGAUUAGAUACCCCUGUAGUC
rnacentral:rRNA from 1 species